GUGCUCACUUUGGCAGCACAUAUACUAAAUUUGGAAUGAUACAGAGAAGAUUAGCAUGGCCCCUGCAUAAGGAUGACACACAAAUUCGUGAAGCAUUCCAUAUUCUU
ensembl:snRNA U6 U6 spliceosomal RNA